rnacentral:rRNA from 1 species
GACGAACGCUGGCGGCGUGCCUAAUACAUGCAAGUAGGACGCAGUUGCGAACGGGAGAGUAACGCGUAGGUAACUACCUAUUAGAGGGGGAUAACUAUUGGAAACGAUAGCUAAUACCGCCUACUAGUAGAUGGACCUGCGUUGUAUUAGCUAGUAGGUAGGGUAAUGGCCUACCUAGGCAACGAUACAUAGCCGACCGUAGCGGGUGAUCGACCACACUGUGACUGGAACACGGCCCAAGAUCCUACGGGAGGCAGCAGUAGGGAAUCUUCGGCAAUGGGGGGAACCCUGACCGAGCAACGCCGCGGGAGUGAAGAAGGUUUUCGGAUCGGAAAGCUCUGUUGUUAAGGAAGCGGUACUUAACCAGAAAGGGACGGCUAACUACGUGCCAGCAGCCGCGGUAAUUC